rnacentral:rRNA from 1 species
AGGGAUUGCCCCAGUAACGGCGAGUGAAGCGGCAACAGCUCAAAUUUGAAAUCUGGCCCUUACGGGUCCGAGUUGUAAUUUGUAGAGGAUGCUUUUGGCAAGGCGCCGCCCGAGUUCCCUGGAACGGGACGCCACAGAGGGUGAGAGCCCCGUCUGGCUGGCCGCCGAGCCUCUGUAAAGCUCCUUCGACGAGUCGAGUAGUUUGGGAAUGCUGCUCAAAAUGGGAGGUAUAUGUCUUCUAAAGCUAAAUAUUGGCCAGAGACCGAUAGCGCACAAGUAGAGUGAUCGAAAGAUGAAAAGCACCUUGAAAAGAGGGUUAAAUAGUACGUGAAAUUGUUGAAAGGGAAGCGCUUGUGACCAGACUUGGGCGCGGCGGAUCAUCCGGGGUUCUCCCCGGUGCACUUCGCCGUGCCCAGGCCAGCAUCAGUUCGUCGCGGGGGAAAAAGGCUUCGGGAACGUGGCUCCCCUGGGAGUGUUAUAGCCCGUUGCAUAAUACCCUGCGGUGGACUGAGGACCGCGCAUCUGCAAGGAUGCUGGCGUAAUGGUCACCAGCGACCCGUCUUGAAACACGGACCAAGGAGUCGUCUUCGUAUGCGAGUGUUCGGGUGUCAAACCCCUACGCGUAAUGAAAGUGAACGCAGGUGAGAGCUUCGGCGCAUCAUCGACCGAUCCUGAUGUUCUCGGAUGGAUUUGAGUAAGAGCAUACGGGGCCGGACCCGAAAGAAGGUGAACUAUGCCUGUAUAGGGUGAAGCCAGAGGAAACUCUGGUGGAGGCUCGCAGCGGUUCUGACGUGCAAAUCGAUCGUCAAAUAUGGGCAUGGGGGCGAGAGACUAAUCGAACCUUCUAGUAGCUGGUUUUCCGCCGAAGUCUCCCCUAAGGAAUAAGG